AUCCCAUCAGCAACCAGACUCAACAUCUGGACAUCACUCACCUCUGUCACACAUGUUCAGUCCACUGUUGUGGUCCUACUGAAGCUGUGAUCCGAUUGGUCCUCUCUGCUCUGGUGGGCGUGGCUACUGUCAUUCUUGUGGUUUAUGAAAUCAGAUCCAGAAGAGCUGAAGGAGAUCAAGCAGAGAUUCACACAUCAGGAACUUAACUGAUAAUGUAAUUUCUCACACUGUACUUUUCAUAUACAAAUAUUUGUGAGAUAUAUUAGUUUAUAGCUUUAUAUGUUCAUCUUUUUUUAAAUUGAAUGUAGAAUGCUGAACUUUAAGAUUAUUCAAGUGUGUUUUUUGUUCUUCUAGUGUUUUGUCAUGAUAAAUACUGAUGAUUAUUUGAGCUUCUGCUCUCUGUUUCAGUGUCAGAUUUUUAAAAAUCAUAUUUGUAAGGCUUUAUUGUUUAUAUUUCUCUCAAAUAAUAAAAAAAGAACAAAGAGACACAGAUCUCGCUUUACUACUGCUGUAUAUCUGUCAUAUGUAUUUGCUUGUCUUUAUCAAUAAAGUUUUCUCACUCUUA